UGGUUCUGGCAUCGAUGAAGAACGCAGCGAAAUGCGAUAAGUAAUGCGAAUUGCAGAAUUUCCGUGAGUCAUCGAAUCUUUGAACGCACAUUGCGCCCAUUGGUAUUCCGAUGGGCAUGCCUGUUCGAGCGUCAUUAUCCUCUCUCAAGCCCCCCGGGGUUUGGUGUUGGACCUGCGUUGCGUGAGCAACUGGUCUCAAAGACAAUGACGGCGUCCGUGGGACCCUCUUCGCAACGAGCUUCUUCGGGGCACGCGAAACAGGGGCCUUCCGGGCCGGUCUUCCCUUCUUUUUUUACAAGGUUGACCUCGGAUCAGGUAGGAAUACCCGCUGA
rnacentral:misc_RNA from 1 species